GGCUCCCCCCAGUCAGACCCCUGGUGCACAGGUGGGAGAGGCUGGUCUGAGGCUGCCAGGUGUAUCUGGAUGGGCCUCAGAUGACUCUUCAGCCCCCAACUUGGGUGUCUGAACCGUGCGUUAUCCCAGAGCACAGAGCUCUGUGGAGGUGCAGGGGUCACUGGGGCGUGGGAAGCUCCAAGCACAUGUCUGAGCUCUGAGGAGGGCGCUGGGCAAGGUGGGUGCUGCGGGAAGCCUGACCCCACCUGCCUGUGUGGUAGGACCGGGCCCUGCCCCUGGCAGUGACUACGGGCAACCGCAAGGCGGAACCGCAGCUGUGCAACAAGCUGGUGGCAAUGCUGGCCACGCUGGAGGAGCCCCAAGAGGGCUUGGAGGUUGCCCACAUGGCCCUAGCACUCAGCAUCACUCUGGGGACUGGUUGAACGAGGGCGUGGCCUACCACAGGCUGGCCGCCCUGCACCACUGGCUGGGCCAUGGCAAGCUGGCAGAGCACUUCUACCUCAAGGCCCUGUAGCUCUGCAACUCGCCACCGGAGUUCGACGAGGAGACCCUCUACUCCGUGAAGGUGUACCUGGUGCUCGGUGACAUCAUCUUCUACGACCUGAAGGACCCGUUUGAUGCAGCCGGGUACUACCAGCUGGCACUGGCAGCCGCCGUGGACCUGGGCAACAAGAAGGCACAGCUGAAGAUCUCCACGCGGCCGGCCACCAUCUCCCACAACUUCCUCCUGGACCGCGAGAAGUCGCUCUUCUUCUACCGGAAGGCCAGGACCUUCGCCACAGUGCUCAAUGUCUGCAGGGUCAACCUGCCUCCACUGCCACUCUGCGGGUGGGCCCCCUGGUUGGCCCCAGCCACCCUCGCUGAGGACAGCAUCCGAGGGAGUGGGUUUUGUGCAAGGAGGAUGGUCUCCUGCCUCUCCUGGUGUCUCCCGUGGCUCAUUUUCUGGGAAAUGGAGGCAUGAAAGCAGGGUUCAAAUAGCAAUAAUUUUUUUUGCAAUAACAUACCGAAG